rnacentral:rRNA from 1 species
UGGGGAAUAUUGCACAAUGGGGGAAACCCUGAUGCAGCGACGCCGCGUGAGCGAAGAAGGCCUUCGGGUCGUAAAGCUCUUUUAUGAGGGAAGAUAAUGACGGUAUCAUAGGAGGAAGCCCCGGCUAAAUACGUGCCAGCAGCCGCGGUAAUACGUAUGGGGCGAGCGUUGUCCGGAAUUAUUGGGCGUAAAGGGUACGUAGGCGGUCUAUUAAGUCAGGUGUGAAAGCGUGAGGCUUAACCUCAUUAAGCACUUGAAACUGAUAGACUUGAGUGAAGGAGAGGAAAGUGGAAUUCCUAGUGUAGCGGUGAAAUGCGUAGAUAUUAGGAGGAAUACCGGUGGCGAAGGCGACUUUCUGGACUUUUACUGACGCUCAGGUACGAAAGCGUGGGGAGCAAACAGG